UGGAUGGAAAAUUACUUUGUUUGCACUAAAGUUUUCUAAGCCAACCAU
rnacentral:tRNA from 1 species